UACGUAGGGUGCGAGCGUUUAAUCGGAAUUACUGGGCGUAAAGCGUGCGCAGGCGGCGCGUUAAGACAGGUGUGAAAGCCCCGAGCUUAACUUGGGAAUUGCGCUUGUGACUGGCGUGCUGGAGUGUGGCAGAGGGAGGUGGAAUUCCACGUGUAGCAGUGAAAUGCGUAGAGAUGUGGAGGAACACCGAUGGCGAAGGCAGCCUCCUGGGCCAGCACUGACGCUCAUGCACGAAAGCGUGGGGGAGCAAACAGG
rnacentral:rRNA from 1 species